rnacentral:rRNA from 1 species
CGAUUAAAGCACCUUCGGGUGUGUAUAAAGUGGCGAACGGCUGAGUAACACGUGGGCAACCUGCCCCUCUCAUUGGGAUAGCCACGGGAAACCGUGGAUAAUACCGAAUACUUCGGGACUUCCGCAUGGAAGACUCGAGAAAGCUCCGGCGGAGAGGGAUGGGCCCGCGGCCUGUUAGCUUGUUGGUGGGGUAACGGCCUACCAAGGCAAUGAUGGGUAGCUGGGUUGAGAGACCGACCAGCCAGAUUGGGACUGAGACACGGCCCAGACUCCUACGGGAGGCAGCAGUGGGGAAUCUUGCACAAUGGGCGAAAGCCUGAUGCAGCGACGCCGCGUGCGGGAUGAAGGCCUUCGGGUUGUAAACCGCUUUCAGCAGGGACGAGGCGAAAGUGACGGUACCUGCAGAAGAAGCCCCGGCUAACUACGUGCCAGCAGCCGCGGUAAUACGUAGGGGGCAAGCGUUAUCCGGAUUCAUUGGGCGUAAAGCGCUCGUAGGCGGUCUGUUAGGUCGGGAGUUAAAUCCGGGGGCUCAACCCCCGUUCGCUCCCGAUACCGGCAGACUUGAGUUUGGUAGGGGAAGGUGGAAUUCCUAGUGUAGCGGUGGAAUGCGCAGAUAUUAGGAAGAACACCAGUGGCGAAGGCGGCCUUCUGGGCCAUAACUGACGCUGAGGAGCGAAAGCUAGGGGAGCAAACAGGAUUAGAUACCCUGGUAGUCCUAGCCGUAAACGAUGGACACUAGGUGUGGGGGAAUAUUUCUUCCG